rnacentral:rRNA from 1 species
UUAGAUGCGAGAGUAGAGCAUAUCAAUAAGCGGAGGAAAAGAAACUAACAAGGAUUCCCUUAGUAACGGCGAGUGAAGCGGGAAGAGCUCAAAUUUGAAAUCUUCAAGGUUCUACCUUGACGAAUUGUAGUUUAUAGAAGUGUUUUCUGUUAGUAGAGUGGCAAAAGUUCUUUGGAAUAGGACAUCAUAGAGGGUGAGAAUCCCGUAUUUGGUCAUUCCUCCUAGCGUUGUGAUACACUUUCAACGAGUCGGAUUGUUUGGGAAUGCAGUCCAAAAUGGGUGGUAAAUUUCAUCUAAAGCUAAAUAUUGGCGAGAGACCGAUAACGAACAAGUACCGUGAGGGAAAGAUGAAAAGAACUUUGAAAAGAGAGUUAAACAGUACGUGAAAUUGUCAAAAGGGAAGCGUUUGACACCAGUGUUGUUUUUCCGAAAAUCAAUUACGAAUGUUUUGUUUUUAAGAAGUUAUGACUUCAUCGGCUUGCUCCUUUCUUUACUGAAACUUUCUUAAUGCACUUUUCGGUUAACAAGUCAACAUCAAUUUCUUUUGUUGUAAAAGGGUAUGAGGAAGGUGGCUUUCUUUUCGGAGAAAGUGUUUAUAGCCUUGUGCCUCUGCAAUCGGAGAGAUUGAGGUCUGCAGCGUAGAUCCUUCGGGGUUAGAUACAGUUUGUGCUAAGCUAUAGCCUUGUAUAGACAACUUGUUGACUAUGCUCAGUCAUGUAGCUUACUCGCUGAUGCUAUUUUACCUACGCUUAGGAUGUUGACGAGACUGUCGAUCUC